rnacentral:lncRNA from 1 species
GCCUUCGGUGCUUGUCAUGCGGUUAGGGGAUGCUGUCCUAAAGUGAGGCACAGAAGUAGAUGAUCCGGUCUGCUGCGCCCGGCGUCGUGAACCGGUGCGAGGCAGAGGGAGGAUGAAUCGCACACUCCUGGAAAGCAACAGGGAGAGUACCACGAUUCUGCCCUCGCUGGCGUGAAAGUUAAUCAGGAAUGUGCUGGAAUAAAUCCAUAUGCGCUUCAAAGACACAUCGGUGUCAAAUUAGUGGAAAGGAGAGGGGAAUUCAGGCCAGUAAGAUCUGCUGAUAGGGUCAAGUGGCCUCCCUGUCCCUGGGUCUGCCUUUUGGAAACACAAACUGCACUUUGGUUUCACUUUUAGAAGUGUGAGCCAAAUCGUGAUGCUUACAGAAAGCAAGAGGAGCGGAAGAAGAUGGGAAAGUCCCGUGAUCAGGGUGCGAGAGGAUCACACCACGGCUCACUCUGUUCUCCAGUCUUGUUACGUGGAUUUCUCUCUCUCCGAGUAAUUUCUCAGCAUCCCCUUGAAUGGCAUCUACCACACAUAACUUUUCCAACCCACAAGGCUGAAGCAACUUCCCAUAGCUGAAAUGACUCCAGCACAGCUAUUCCCUAGAAGACAUCCUCCCUGA